GACGAACGCUGGCGGCGUGCUAACACAUGCAAGUCGAACGGGUCUGCCCUGUUUUUUGCGGGGUGGGUCAGUGGCGAACGGGUGAGUAACAAGUGAGUAACCUGCCCCUCACUUCUGGAUAACCGCUUGAAAGGGUGGCUAAUACGGGGUGUUCUGGCUGUGCCGCAUGGUGUGGCUGGGAAAGAUUCACUUUUGUGGUGUUUUGGUGGGGGGUGGGCUCGCGGCCUAUCAGCUUGUUGGUGGGGUGAUGGCCUGCCAAGGCUUUGACGGGUAGCCGGCCUGAGAGGGUGGGCGGUCACACUGGGACUGAGAUACGGCCCAGACUCCUGCGGGAGGCAGCAGUGGGGGGUAUUGCACAAUGGGCGGAAGCCUGAUGCAGCGACGUCGCGUGAGGGAUGGAGGCCUUCGGGUUGUGAACCUCUUUCGCCGGUGAAGAAGGUCCUGCUCUUUGUGGUGGGGUUGACGGUAGCCGGGUUAUGAAGCGCCGGCUAACUACGUG
rnacentral:rRNA from 1 species